rnacentral:rRNA from 1 species
AGAGUUUGAUCCUGGCUCAGGAUGAACGCUAGCUACAGGCUUAACACAUGCAAGUCGAGGGGCAGCAUUUUAGUUUGCUUGCAAACUAAAGAUGGCGACCGGCGCACGGGUGAGUAACACGUAUCCAACCUGCCGAUAACUCGGGGAUAGCCUUUCGAAAGAAAGAUUAAUAUCCGAUAGUAUAUUAAAACCGCAUGGUUUUACUAUUAAAGAAUUUCGGUUAUCGAUGGGGAUGCGUUCCAUUAGUUUGUUGGCGGGGUAACGGCCCACCAAGACUACGAUGGAUAGGGGUUCUGAGAGGAAGGUCCCCCACAUUGGAACUGAGACACGGUCCAAACUCCUACGGGAGGCAGCAGUGAGGAAUAUUGGUCAAUGGACGAGAGUCUGAACCAGCCAAGUAGCGUGAAGGAUGACUGCCCUAUGGGUUGUAAACUUCUUUUAUAUGGGAAUAAAGUAUUCCACGUGUGGGAUUUUGUAUGUACCAUAUGAAUAAGGAUCGGCUAACUCCGUGCCAGCAGCCGCGGUAAUACGGAGGAUCCGAGCGUUAUCCGGAUUUAUUGGGUUUAAAGGGAGCGUAGGUGGAUUGUUAAGUCAGUUGUGAAAGUUUGCGGCUCAACCGUAAAAUUGCAGUUGAAACUGGCAGUCUUGAGUACAGUAGAGGUGGGCGGAAUUCGUGGUGUAGCGGUGAAAUGCUUAGAUAUCACGAAGAACUCCGAUUGCGAAGGCAGCUCACUAGACUGCAACUGACACUGAUGCUCGAAAGUGUGGGUAUCAAACAGGAUUAGAUACCCUGGUAGUCCACACAGUAAACGAUGAAUACUCGCUGUUUGCGAUAUACAGUAAGCGGCCAAGCGAAAGCAUUAAGUAUUCCACCUGGGGAGUACGCCGGCAACGGUGAAACUCAAAGGAAUUGACGGGGGCCCGCACAAGCGGAGGAACAUGUGGUUUAAUUCGAUGAUACGCGAGGAACCUUACCCGGGCUUAAAUUGCAUUUGAAUAAUCUGGAAACAGGUUAGCCGCAAGGCAAAUGUGAAGGUGCUGCAUGGUUGUCGUCAGCUCGUGCCGUGAGGUGUCGGCUUAAGUGCCAUAACGAGCGCAACCCUUAUCUUUAGUUACUAACAGGUCAUGCUGAGGACUCUAGAGAGACUGCCGUCGUAAGAUGUGAGGAAGGUGGGGAUGACGUCAAAUCAGCACGGCCCUUACGUCCGGGGCUACACACGUGUUACAAUGGGGGGUACAGAAGGCAGCUACCUGGCGACAGGAUGCUAAUCCCAAAAACCUCUCUCAGUUCGGAUCGAAGUCUGCAACCCGACUUCGUGAAGCUGGAUUCGCUAGUAAUCGCGCAUCAGCCAUGGCGCGGUGAAUACGUUCCCGGGCCUUGUACACACCGCCCGUCAAGCCAUGAAAGCCGGGGGUACCUGAAGUACGUAACCGCAAGGAGCGUCCUAGGGUAAAACUGGUAAUUGGGGCUAAGUCGUAACAAGGUA